UGCGUAGGGUGCAGGCGUUAAUCGGAAUUACUGGGCGUAAAGCGUGCGCAGGCGGUUUGCUAAGACAGGUGUGAAAUCCCCGGGCUUAACCUGGGAACUGCGCUUGUUACUGGCAGGCUUGAGUGUGGCAGAGGGGGGUGGAAUUCCACGUGUAGCAGUGAAAUGCGUAGAUAUGCGGAGGAACACCGAUGGCGAAGGCAAUCCCCUGGGCCUGCACUGACGCUCAUGCACGAAAGCGUGGGGAGCAAACAGG
rnacentral:rRNA from 1 species